UGUGCAAGUCAGUCAACUCAAGACUAAACUCACCUCCCACUAUUUAGGAGUGUCUUCACUCUUCCUCACAAAACCUCCCUCAGUGUUCUACCAAACAAAGCAUAACACCACACCAAUAAUACCAGUAACCAGUGCAGCAACGUUGGUCGAAAACACACUCUAGCACAGCAGCAGUGAUUAGGGUUUACUGUGAAUUUUGGAUUUGCGCAAUUUAUCGGAAUGACUACUUUAACGAGCCAACGAUUGUUCUUGAAAGACUCCACUACUUUCAGACUCUCUCGCCCUGCUUCACCAUAUCUUUCUGACAGAGGAUAUGUUAGAUGGAGGUCCCCUAAAGCUGCUGUGAUUGCGAAUUUCCAUCUUCCUAUGCGUAGUUAUGAAAUGAAGAACAGGACGAAUGUGGAUGAUAUAAAGUCCUUGAGGCUGAUUACGGCCAUUAAAACCCCGUACCUACCAGAUGGACGCUUUGAUCUUGAAGCUUACGAUGCCUUAGUAAAUAUGCAGAUUAAUGGUGGCGCUGAAGCUGUUAUUGUUGGAGGUACAACUGGUGAAGGACAACUAAUGAGCUGGGAUGAGCACAUUAUGCUUAUUGGCCAUACCGUCAACUGUUUUGGCAGUAACAUCAAAGUGAUCGGGAACACUGGCAGCAACUCAACACGAGAAGCAAUACAUGCUACUGAACAGGGGUUUGCUGUUGGUAUGCAUGCUGCACUUCAUAUCAAUCCUUACUAUGGCAAAACCUCAAUGGAGGGUUUGAAUGCUCAUUUCGCAAGCGUGCUCUCUAUGGGACCAGCCAUCGUAUACAAUGUACCUUCAAGAACAAGUCAAGAUAUUCCUCCUGAGGUGAUACAUUCUCUAGCACAAAAUGCUAACUUUGCUGGUGUUAAAGAAUGUGUUGGAAAUGAAAGAAUUAAGCAAUACACAGAUAAAAGGAUUGUCGUUUGGAGUGGCAAUGAUGAUCAGUGUCAUGAUUCGAGGUGGUCAUAUGGGGCAACUGGAGUGAUAUCUGUUACUAGUAAUUUAGUUCCAGGCUUGAUGUGGCAACUAAUGUUUGAGGGAAAGAAUCCCUCUCAAAAUUCCAAGCUUAUGCCUUUAAUUGAGUGGCUUUUUCAGGAGCCAAAUCCUAUUGGCUUAAACACUGCUUUAGCGCAACUUGGAGUAGCAAGGCCAGUUUUCCGGCUUCCUUAUGUACCACUUCCACUGGAAAAGAGGAUUGAAUUUGUGCAUAUAGUGAAGCAAAUCGGACGGGAGAAUUUUGUUGGUGACAAAGAUGUUCAGGUCCUUGAUGACAAUGAUUUUAUCUUGGUUGGUCGGUACUGAAAUCUUUGUCUUUGUAGCGUUGCAUUGUUGACAGAAUCCGGAAAUAUGCUUGGGAAUGAGGAUUCAGGAUUACCAGUUUGCUGAUUCUUCUCCCUGCUUGUUUCAAAUUUCGCUUAACUAUGCCGACUGAUUUUUCUGCAAGUAUGUGGUUCAAAACUUUUGAGCUGUGAGGAUGAAAAUAGAAGUGUUACGUACGGAUUCCAUAUCCUUUUAGAGUGUCACGUGUCUGAGUUUCUGACACGGGUAGGCAAGACAAAUGAAGUCUUGCAGUGACAUGGCUCAAGAUUCAAAGUAUUAGAGAAAUACCUGUAUCCAUCGGCGACAAAGCUCUUCUGUUGUACUCUCAGCAAAACCACAUAUAUCUGCUCCAAUCAUUGGCAUCCCAAAAAGUCCAAAGUUCAGCAUAGUUGGAAUUGAGUAUUGCAGGUCAUCCCAUCUUGCAGCAUUAUCUCCAGUCCAAUGUGCAGUGUACUUCCCAGACCCAGCAAACGUUGACCUUGAAAGUAGAAAUGGCCUCUCGUUGCUGGUUCUAACGAGUGCUUCUCGGGUGGCUUGAGAUUCAAGAAACCCAUAUAGAUUAUGGGCAUUGUAUUCUGUAACAUUACCAUAAUGCAUAGCUGUUGCUGGAAUAGUCUUGCUAUUUAUUGGUACACGGCCUCCAGAAUUAUUGAUCUUAUAUGGUGGAUUGUCAAGCGUAGAACCAGGGGUAGGUGCGGAAGUAAUAAAAUUUGAAGCUUCAUUCAUAUCUAUCCAAAUGCCAUCAAUCGGAAGAAUAUCGCGGAAACGCUUGAUCUCGUCAACCCAGAAACUCCGAGCAGCAGGAUCCAAAAAAUCAGGGUAGUAAACUGGUCCUGGCCAAACAGAACCCAGGUGAAUUACCAGGAUCCAAGAUUGGAACAUAUCUUUGGCCAUUCCUGUGGAGUUUUGUCACAAAUUGCUGCAUCUUGUCUAGUGGAAAAUGUACAGGAUCUAGAGUGAAA